CACGUAGGGCGCAAGCGUUGUUCGGAAUUACUGGGCGUAAAGCGCGCGCAGGCGGCUAUCCAAGUCAGUGGUGAAAGCCCGGAGCUCAACUCCGGAACUGCCAUUGAAACUGUUUAGCUUGAGGACGAGAGAGGUGAGUGGAAUUCCCAGUGUAGAGGUGAAAUUCGUAGAUAUUGGGAAGAACACCGGUGGCGAAGGCGGCUCACUGGCUCGUAUCUGACGCUCAGGCGCGACAGCGUGGGGAUCAAACAGG
rnacentral:rRNA from 1 species